AUUGAACGCUGGCGGCAGGCCUAACACAUGCAAGUCGAGCGGAUGAAGGGAGCUUGCUCCUGGAUUCAGCGGCGGACGGGUGAGUAAUGCCUAGGAAUCUGCCUGGUAGUGGGGGAUAACGUCCGGAAACGGGCGCUAAUACCGCAUACGUCCUGAGGGAGAAAGUGGGGGAUCUUCGGACCUCACGCUAUCAGAUGAGCCUAGGUCGGAUUAGCUAGUUGGUGGGGUAAAGGCCUACCAAGGCGACGAUCCGUAACUGGUCUGAGAGGAUGAUCAGUCACACUGGAACUGAGACACGGUCCAGACUCCUACGGGAGGCAGCAGUGGGGAAUAUUGGACAAUGGGCGAAAGCCUGAUCCAGCCAUGCCGCGUGUGUGAAGAAGGUCUUCUGAUUGGUAAGCACUUUAAGUUGGGAGGAAGGGCAGUAAGUUAAUACCUUGCUGUUUUGACGGUACCAACAGAAUAAGCACCGGCUAACUUCGUG
rnacentral:rRNA from 1 species